rnacentral:rRNA from 1 species
UUGAAGAGUUUGAUCAUGGCUCAGAUUGAACGCUGGCGGCAGGCCUAACACAUGCAAGUCGAGCGGUAGCACAGAGAGCUUGCUCUCGGGUGACGAGCGGCGGACGGGUGAGUAAUGUCUGGGAAACUGCCUGAUGGAGGGGGAUAACUACUGGAAACGGUAGCUAAUACCGCAUAAUGUCGCAAGACCAAAGUGGGGGACCUUCGGGCCUCAUGCCAUCAGAUGUGCCCAGAUGGGAUUAGCUAGUAGGUGGGGUAACGGCUCACCUAGGCGACGAUCCCUAGCUGGUCUGAGAGGAUGACCAGCCACACUGGAACUGAGACACGGUCCAGACUCCUACGGGAGGCAGCAGUGGGGAAUAUUGCACAAUGGGCGCAAGCCUGAUGCAGCCAUGCCGCGUGUGUGAAGAAGGCCUUCGGGUUGUAAAGCACUUUCAGCGGGGAGGAAGGCGUUAAGGUUAAUAACCUUGGCGAUUGACGUUACCCGCAGAAGAAGCACCGGCUAACUCCGUGCCAGCAGCCGCGGUAAUACGGAGGGUGCAAGCGUUAAUCGGAAUUACUGGGCGUAAAGCGCACGCAGGCGGUCUGUCAAGUCGGAUGUGAAAUCCCCGGGCUCAACCUGGGAACUGCAUUCGAAACUGGCAGGCUAGAGUCUUGUAGAGGGGGGUAGAAUUCCAGGUGUAGCGGUGAAAUGCGUAGAGAUCUGGAGGAAUACCGGUGGCGAAGGCGGCCCCCUGGACAAAGACUGACGCUCAGGUGCGAAAGCGUGGGGGAAACAGGAUUAGAUACCACGGUAGUCCACGCCGUAAACGAUGUCGAUUUGGAGGUUGUGCCCUUGAGGCGUGGCUUCCGGAGCUAACGCGUUAAAUCGACCGCCUGGGGAGUACGGCCGCAAGGUUAAAACUCAAAUGAAUUGACGGGGGCCCGCACAAGCGGUGGAGCAUGUGGUUUAAUUCGAUGCAACGCGAAGAACCUUACCUGGUCUUGACAUCCACAGAACUUUCCAGAGAUGGAUUGGUGCCUUCGGGAACUGUGAGACAGGUGCUGCAUGGCUGUCGUCAGCUCGUGUUGUGAAAUGUUGGGUUAAGUCCCGCAACGAGCGCAACCCUUAUCCUUUGUUGCCAGCGGUUAGGCCGGGAACUCAAAGGAGACUGCCAGUGAUAAACUGGAGGAAGGUGGGGAUGACGUCAAGUCAUCAUGGCCUUACGACCGGGGCUACACGUGCUACAAUGGCAUAUACAAAGAGAAGCGACCUCGCGAGAGCAAGCGGACCUCAUAAAGUAUGUCGUAGUCCGGAUUGGAGUCUGCAACUCGACUCCAUGAAGUCGGAAUCGCUAGUAAUCGUAGAUCAGAAUGCUACGGUGAAUACGUUCCCGGGCCUUGUACACACCGCCCGUCACACCAUGGGAGUGGGUUGCAAAAGAAGUAGGUAGCUUAACCUUCGGGAGGGCGCUUACCACUUUGUGAUUCAUGACUGGGGUGAAGUCGUAACAAGGUAACCGUAGGGGAACCUGCGGUUGGAUCACCUCCUU